GGUGCCAAACGGUUCGGAUAUAUCCGAACCGAUCCGCAUCCGUAUCCGAACGGAUGCGGAUAUGAUAGACUAGUUUUGAAACCGGGCGGAUACGGUAACGGAUACGGAUAUGGUUUUGGAUUUUUUUCGGAUACGGAUUCGGUAACGGAUAUGAGGGUUGCGGAUACGGAUAUCCGCAAUAUAAUACUGAUUCGGGUGUCGGGUCUCAAAAUUACAAUUACAAACCCGUAACCGCUAACCCAAACCUCUUAACCCUAGCCCCCAUUCAUUUCCUGAGUCCAGCGGCGCCCAUCCAUUUCCGUCUCCAGCCCCCAUUCAAUUUUCCAGCCUCCGUUCGUCAUCUUCGCCCCGCGCCGUUCGACGUCCAGCGGAUCCUCGUCCUCGUCCUCGUCCAGCGUUCGUCUUCACAGAUCGUCUUCUUUCAUCGUUCGUCUUCACCGAUCGUUCUCCAGCGUUCCUCUUCACCGAUCGUAUUGACUUGAUUCCUCACGAGAAGUUUUCUUUUGCAAAGAUAUGGCUCUUGGCAGCUCAAUUUGAGUGAGACGGAAAAAUGUCAGGGAUGCUCGCCUAAUCUUGGAUGAUUAUAGUUUUAUAUGAAGUACAUUGAAAUCGAACUUGCGCUUGGUGAAAUUGAUAGUUGCAGAAUUCUAUAUGGGGAGUAUUAGGAGUGGGCUCCAGCAAAUUGCUAUGCUUGGACCAAGUAUGCUGAGUUGGAGAGAUCACUAAAUGAAAAGGAGCGUGCUCGGGGUAUACACUUGAGCUUGCUGUUGCUCAGCCCGCACUUGACAUUGCAGAGUCGUUGUGGAAGGUAUGCAUUUUUUUCUUAGCACAUUUGCUCCUUAUUUGCUAUUGCAUUCUAUUUCCUGGUAAUGCAUGUACGAUUGAGAAUAGCUGUCAUCUAUCCGGCCACAGAGAAAAAUUGUAACAUUAAGUAGAGCCAUAAAAGAACCUAAUCCAUUGUAAAAUUAAAAUCUUAAAAGAUGUCAUAUGUUUCGUCCAAAGGUAUGCUUGUACAUUUCAUCAUCCAACUACCUUUUCGUACAUUUAAACAUUUGCGGGAAUCAAAAUGUGUCCAUCCAGUGUUUAGAGCAGAGGCAUAGGAAGAACCUAAUAUACAUCAUCAAGAGGGAGCCCCAUUCCUAUAGAUAGCUUUAACUAAUUCAUUUACACCACAGCUAUAUUUCACCUAGAUGUGGUAACUCAUGUUCCAUGUCAAAAAGAAAGGACUUGGUAUCUGCUUGGUUUUAUCUUUAGUCCUCACUUGGUUUUAACAUUUUGUCAUAUAUGUGUGUGCGGUUUGCUCUUGUAAUGGUUUUUGGUGAUUUAGUUAGUAAGGAUGAUGUUCUUGUUGUGUCAUGGUUGUCUUGUGAAAUGUUUGUGUCAUGGGUUGUGCUACUGAAGGUUUUGGAUGAACAUUAUAUGUCUAAUAGUAAUAGAUUUGUGCUCAAUUUCAGUAAUUCUAAUUAUAUGUGAAUAUCCGUUUGUAUCCGUGAUCAUAUCCGAUCCGAUUCUCAAAUAUCCGAUCCGUAUCCGUUUCCGAUAAGUGCGGAUAUGGUUAAAGUUUUUUCUUACCGAGAAUGAUCCGUAUCCGUAUCCGUAUCCGUUUAUAAAAAGCGGAUAUGGAUAUGGUAAGUGCGAUAUCCGAGCCGUAUCCGCUCCGAUAACACCCCUACUCACA